AUUGAACGCUGGCGGCAUGCUUUACACAUGCAAGUCGAACGGUAACAGGCCGCAAGGUGCUGACGAGUGGCGAACGGGUGAGUAAUGCAUCGGAACGUGCCCAGUCGUGGGGGAUAACGCAGCGAAAGCUGCGCUAAUACCGCAUACGAUUUAUGGAUGAAAGCGGGGGACCGAAAGGCCUCGCGCGAUUGGAGCGGCCGAUGUCAGAUUAGGGAGUUGGGGGGGUAAAGGCUCACCAAGCCGACGAUCUGUAGCUGGUCUGAGAGGACGACCAGCCACACUGGGACUGAGACACGGCCCAGACGCCUACGGGAGGCAGCAGUGGGGAAUUUUGGACAAUGGGCGCAAGCCUGAUCCAGCAAUGCCGCGUGCAGGAAGAAGGCCUUCGGGUUGUAAACUGCUUUUGUACGGAACGAAAAGGCUCUGGUUAAUACCUGGGGCUCAUGACGGUACCGUAAGAAUAAGCACCGGCUAACUACGUGCCAGCCGCCGCAGUAAAAC
rnacentral:rRNA from 1 species